rfam:Oleiphilus sp. HI0069 HI0069_c39, whole genome shotgun sequence.
GGCGUUCUGGAAUGCUGGCUUGCUAGAUAAGUCCUCGAGCCGAUAAUAACACCUUGGUAAUCACAUCAUGUGAUGUGUGCAAGUCCCCCGGUUUAUCUGGAUGGGAAAGCCUAAUUUGCAUAUAGUGAUCACCCCCUUGAACUUUCGGGUUCAAGGCCCUAUCUGGCAGCGGCAUUUUGGGCGCAC